ensembl:lncRNA
GGUGAUUACAGAAUAAAUGUACUGUAAUAUAUUCGAUUAAACACUGAUCAUUUACUUAAACAUGAACUGAAUGAUGAAGUGUGUUUUCUGCAGUUUCAUCAAGACAGGAAGUAAAGUGAAAUAGUGAGAAGUGUGUUGACUUCACACUUCAUUAAUGCUUUUGUUUGUUUGUUUGUUUUUUCCUUCAAGGGUUGUGAACAUGACAAAGAGGAAGUCCUGACACAUUACAGAUUAGUCUCACUGGAUGCUCACAGCCUGAAAAACAUGCUGCACAUGUCAGCAGUUCUGUGCUAUGCUUUCUUCUGUACAGUAUGUACUCAUUUUAUUAAUGCAUUUUUUACAUGUCCUGCAUUUCUGUUUCUCUCUGUUCCAGUUUAUGUUGUACCGGUGACACAUACAGAGGCAGAAGACAAAGAAAGAGGAAGUCAGCAUCUCAUCACAUUCAUGAUUCACACCCUGCCAGGAACCACCUGAAACACACACCGAGAGCCUCAGACCCAUGUAGAGAGGAAUCUACUAACAACAGAGAAGAUCGUCACUGUGAUCUUCAGAAAUCUGAGUGAACAGGAUUCUGGGAAGUACAAGUGUGGAGUUGAUAAGUUAGGAAUAGAUUCCUACACUGAAGUGAAUCUGAACGUUAUAACAGCGCCAAAAACAGUAUCAGUAUCAUCACCAUCACCCUCAACAACAACAUCAUCAUCAUCAUCAUCAUCAUCAUCAUCAAUCACAACUCCACCUAUUUCACUAAAUUCCCAGCCAUCGACAUCUGAUUUCACAUUGGAUUCUCCGUCUGUCUCGAAUGGUUUGUGUCUGAUCAUCGUCGUGUCUGUGGUUCUUCCUCUGCUCAUCGCUGGACUCGUUUCAUGUAUAGUGACUGUCUGCAUGAAGCGUCAGGCUCGAGCUAAAGGCUCUGAUUCAGCCUCUAAAAUGCCUGAACCUGGAACAGAAAACAGUAAAGCGGUUCCUCAAACGCUGUACAUUUACGAGGGGAUUAAAGACACCAGAACUGCCCAAUUACCCACAAACCCCUCUGAUUCCACUAAAACAGUUUAUGCUACGGCCCAGUUACCCACAAACCCUUCUGGUUCUAUUACCACAGUUUAUUCUACUCCGCAAUUACCCACAAACCCCUCUGUUGAGUGGCAUAAACAGUGUAAGAAUCAGUUAACCACAAAUCCAUCUGCUUCUUGCUAUGUUUAUGCUACUCCAGGAUUACCCACAACCCCCUCUGAUUCUACUAAAACAGUCUAUGCUACUCCACAAUUACCCACAACCCCCUCUGAUUCUACGAACACCGUUUAUGCUAACGUUUAACAGUGCAGAAGUUCGCAAGAGCCAGGGAUUAUAGUAAAUACAUGUUUUACAAGUGAUUGACCAUUUCAAUUUGUUGUUGUACCUGAUGAAGUCAUAUAUAUAUAUAUAUAUAUAUAUAUAUAUAUAUAUAUAUAUACACAUCUCAAAUAUUUUCUCAUUUUGCUUAACAUUGUAUGUGCAAUAAUGUGUUUUAUGUGUGGUUUGUUGUAUAUAUGUAUAUAUGUAACUAUGAACAACAUAAACAGAGGUGGAAAGAGUACAAAAAUAUUCUACUCAAGUAAAAGUACCAUUACAUUAAUGAAAUUUUACUUAAGUACAAGUAAAAGUACCAGUCUAAAAAUCUACUCAAGUAAAAGUAAAAAGUAGCUCAUUUAAAAUUUACUCAGAGUAAAAAUUACUUAGUUACAUUUUAACAGUGGGAGGGAGUCAAAAUUGGGACAGACCAAGGGUGUCGAACUCAGUUCCUGGAGGGCCACAGUCCUGCAUAGUUUAGAUAUAACCCUAAUUAAACACCUGAUCCAGCUAAUCUAAUUGUUUAGGCUUAUUUGAAAACUACAUGGUAGGUGUGCUGGAGCAGGGUUAGAACUAAACUCUGCAGGGCUACGGCCCUCCAGGAACUGAGUUUGACACCCCUGGGAUAGGCCUAUUAAUCUCAAACCAGUUGUUUUUAAUUAAAGGAAUCAGUUAUUUAGAGUAAUAAGACAUUUGGGCUGUUACCAGGCAAAUCAGUAUCAACAAAUUCAUCUUUUCAAUGCAGAGGAAAUGCAGAAGCUUCAUUGGAAGUGGCAUUUAGAUGUAUUUACACACUGUUUAGUGCAGCACAAAAAUGCAUUUAACCUGCAGUUACAAAUGCAUGAAUAAUGUUUUGAUAUACAAGACAUAAAAUGUUGAAUACUCAUUUGAAAUGAUAAGAAAUUAAUUAUUUAAAAAAAUCAAAAGAUAUUGCGAUUCAUUGGGAGUCAUUGCGAUUGAACCGAAUCAUUCAGGAACGAAACACUGUCAUGUUGCUCAGAGACGCAAAACUGUGCUAUGGUGGCUGUGUUUGGAAUUAUUUUUUGUUGUAGAAAUAGAGCAAAAACAGGCAAUAUGGUGUCUAAAACGCAAGUCUCUUAAUUAACUUGUUUACUGACCUGUAUAUAUAGCACACUCCGCACCAGUCUUUUUGGCUAAUUUGUGUAAAACCUCUUGCUAAAAUGUCAAAGCUUUAUUUUAACCACCAAUGCAACGAUGCAAUUAUUUAGCUUACCUCUAUAUGCUUGCGAAGGGUUGACGUCUUGUCGAGAUUUUAUUAGCUGCUAGUUUGGUCUUCCUAGGCAAGCACAGCUUGCACUGCUUAAUAAAGCAUAAAUAUGGCCAGGGCUUCA